CGAAAUGUUGAGAAGAAAACCCACAAAAAUCCAACUUAAAAUUGAAGACCGAGAAGAGCUUGAACAAUCCCGCAAAUCUGAACCACCCACCACCACCACCACCACCACCGCUCCAUCUUCCUCUUCCCUCCUCCACCUCAUCGACCCUAAACACAAAAACCCAUCUUCCAAAUCCGACCGAAUCGGCCUCCCUUCCUCUUGAAACCAACCCUCCAUGGAAGUCGAAGUCAAGCUCCGUCUCCUCACCGCAGCUGCUCAUCUCCGUCUCACCACUCUCCCUCACUCCGUUUCACCUCAAAACCCUCCACCAGCGCAACCUUUUCUUCGACACUCCCAAAAACGACCUCUCCCUCCGUCGCGCCGUCCUCCGUCUCCGCUACCUCCAAAACGCG
rnacentral:lncRNA from 1 species